rnacentral:rRNA from 1 species
CAGCAGCCGCGGUAAUACCAGCUCCAUUAGCAUAUAUUAAAGUUGUUGCGUUUAAAAAGCUCGUAGUUGAAUCUGUAUCUCAUCAUGUCAGUCGCUCGUAAUUUAAUUUAUGUAGUUUGAUUUGACAUUUUGUAUGAGAUAUAAAUACUGGUGGAUUUUUCAAAAUUGAAUUUUAUUUAUUUAUAUUUUGGUUUUUUUUUUUUUUCAAAAAAAAAAUCAAUAUAAAUUAUAUAGUAAUUUUCGAUUUUAAAAUUCGAUAUAAUAAUUUUUAAUCAAAAAAGUUUAUCGAAAAUAAAUGUUAUUUUUUAAUAAUAAAUUUUUUUUAAAAAAUUUUUAUAAAAAAAUUAACUUUUUUCGAUAACUUUUAUUAAAUAUUAAUUAUAUUCUAAUAAAAUUAUUUAAACGUAAUUUUUAUUAGACCAGUAAAAUUACUUUGAACAAAUUAGAGUGCUUAAAGCAGGCAAAUUUAAAUGCCUUGAAUAUAACAGCAUGGAAUAAUAGAAUAUGAUCUCGAUACUGUUUAAAAAAGAAAAUUUUUUUCUGAUUUUUUUUUUUUUAAAUGAUUAGAAAAAAAAUAAAAAUUGGCUUAAAGAAAUAAAUAAUUUUACUUAAAAAAAAAGAUUUUUUUUUUUUUUUUGAUUUAUACAAAAAUAGUAAAAUUUCUUAUCGUUGCAAAAAUUAUAUUUAAAUUUUUUUAAUUUUUGUAUUUUUUUUUUUAAUAAAAAAAAAUAACAAAAACUAUUUACAAUUUUUUUUUUAAAAAAAAAUAAUUUUGUAAAUAGAAAAUUUAAAAACUUUUUUGCAUCCAUAACGUUAAGAAAAUUUUUUUUUUUUGUUAAAAAAAAAUAAUUUCUUUUUUUUAAGAAUUUAUUUCGACAGUAUGAUCGAGAUAAUGAUCAAUAGAGACGGAUGGGGGCAUUCGUACUACGACGCUAGAGGUGAAAUUCUUGGACCGUCGUAAGACGAACUGAAGCGAAAGCGUUUGUCAAAAACGUUUUCAUUGAUCAAGAACGAAAGUUAGAGGUUCGAAGGCGAUCAGAUACCGCCCUAGUUCUAACCAUAAACGAUGCCGACCAGCGAUCCGUCGAUGUUCAUUCAAAUUGACUCGACGGGCAGCUUCCGGGAAACCAAAGUUUUUAGGUUCCGGGGGAAGUAUGGUUGCAAAGCUGAAACUUAAAGGAAUUGACGGAAGGGCACCACCAGGAGUGGAGCUUGCGGCUUAAUUUGACUCAACACGGGAAACCUCACCAGGCCCGGACACCGAAAGGAUUGACAGAUUAAUAGCUCUUUCUUGAUUCGGUGGGUGGUGGUGCAUGGCCGUUCUUAGUUGGUGGAGCGAUUUGUCUGGUUAAUUCCGAUAACGAACGAGACUCUAACCUGCUAACUAGACGUUAAAUGUUUUGCUAGACAUAUAAAAAAUUAUAUAUUAAUAUUUUUUGUUUAAUUUUUUUUUCGAUAAAUAAUGAAUUUUAUUUGAAAAUUUAUUUUCAUUUUUAUUUAAAAUAAAUACGUUGAAGAUAAAUUGCAUUUUUAAAAAAAAAAAGAGAAAAAGAAAUUUUUGUUUGUUUUUUUUUUAAGUGUAGUUUAUUGUAUUUAUUUGAAUAGAAAUUGAAGUGAAUUUUUUAAAUAAUUUAUUUUAAUUAUUUAAAGAUGAAAAUAAAAUAAAAAGUAUUUUGUAUAAUUUUGUUUAGUAAGCAUUUUAUCCGAUAUUUUGAAGCUGUUCAAAAUUUUUUUUUUAAGUAAUUGGUUUUUUUCUUUUUUUUUUAAAUUUAGUUAUUUUAAUUUUGGUUUUUUUUGAAAAAAAGGAACUAAAAUUUUAAUGAUUGAAUUUAAAUAAAUUAAAAAAAAAAAAUUAUUUAAAUGAAAUUUUGGCUUUCGCUAUCGGCGUAUUUAAAUACCUCUUCUUAGAGGGACAGGUGGAUUUAUAAGCCACACGAGAAGGAGCAAUAACAGGUCUGUGAUGCCCUUAGAUGUUCUGGGCCGCACGCGUGCUACAAUGAAAAAAUCAACGUGUUUAUUAAAAAUUUUCUUUUCCGAUAGGAAUGGAUAAACCGUUGAAAAUUUUUCGUGAUAGGAAUCGGGGAUUGAAAUUAUUCUCCGUGAACGAGGAAUUCCCAGUAAGCGUGAGUCAUAAGCUCGCGUUGAUUACGUCCCUGCCCUUUGCACACACCGCCCGU